rnacentral:rRNA from 1 species
GGCCCCCAUCCAGGAAGGCAGCAGGCGCGAAAAUUACCCCUUCCGCGCGGAGAGGUAGUGACUAGUCAUAACAAAUAUAGACCCUAGUGGUUUGUAUUUGGACUGGUGAGAUGUUAUAAAUAUCUCAGUAAUCUAGAUCAGGGCAAGUCUGGUGCCAGCAGCCGCGGUAAUACCAGCCUGAUCAAGCGUAUGCUUUAGUUGCUGCGUUUAAAAAGCUCAUAGUUGGAUCUUCGAAAGCGUGAUCAUCAAAGGGCGUAGUUCGGUUACGGUCGUUCUAUUCCUGGUCACGGUCUUUCACUAUACUUGGAAGACAGUUUAUUCUUAACUGAAUAGACUGAUCGAAAACAAGUGAUAAACCUUGAAAAAAUUAGAGUGCUCAAAGCAAGCUUUGGCCUUGAAUUUUAAAGCAUGGAAUUGAGGAAGAGGACCAUUAUGGUCGUGAACCAUUUUGGUAAUGAUUAAAAGGAACAGACGGGGGCAUACGUAUUGCUCGGGGAGGGGUGAAAUCCGUAGAUCCCAGCAAGACGACCUACUGCGAAAGCAUUUGCCAAGAAUGUUUUCAUUAAUCAAGAACGAAAGUUAGAGUAUUAAAGAGGAUUAGAUACCCUCGUAAUUCUAACCUUAAACGAUACCAUCCUAAUCUUAGCC